UAAAGGGGUCGAGCCAAAAUACACUUGAAACCCUAAAACACAAUAUAUCUAAAAGGAGAUUUCUCCGCGUUAACUCCAUUUCCAGUCCUGUUAAGGAAAACAAAUCUACAGGGUGAGCAAAACGCUCGUGAGGCCAAGAACACACAUGCAAGCACUUUGUUCAAAUAGCAAUCCCAAAUUCAUUAAACAAAACCAGGAUAUUUCAUUAGUCAAUCAUUCGAGCCGGAAAAGUAAAUCAGAAACAAUUCAAUGAUAUAGUAGCUCUCAGGAGCUAAGUUCCACUCGCUCUGUCGAUGUCAUUCGUAUACUUUCCCGCAUUGACCCUCCUGUCAACCGGGUUGGUAUUUCCAUUUCCGUAGAUCACCACUUACUUCCCUCCGUCCACCGUACACCCCAAGGGCCCACAAGUCUAUUUUUAGGGCGAUACUCGAUGAGUAUGCCAAGCAAGACCUCUUAUUAGGUCGAGCUUAUAAUCUCAUGGCUCGCCCAAGUUCCCGACCAAGCCCAUUGCCGGCUCGAGUUCAAGGUCGGCCUAUGAGUUUGGGCGUCCCCCAUUCAUUUGAAAGUCGAGGAGGUUCACUCCAACGACAUAUGUAACCAUUACAUAGCAUUGCAUUUCAUUCAUUCAUUCAAUACAUUUCAUUCAUUCAUUUGAAAUCAGGACGGAUGCGAUAAAGUACACACCCGCCCUUAUUUUUAAAAUCUCUAAUAAUUACCACAAUUAAGCAAGUAUCAAAGAUUCACACACUUGACACUCACCGAGCAAUUUAAUAAAGAUUAUUCGCUGGAGUUCAAGUGUCCACGGUGAGAUCCUCUUGAAGGUCUCCUUGUGUGCCUGGCAGUUAAUGGUGGAUAAUUACUCAAGUAUCUCAAUUAUCAAGUAAGAUUGUACAUUAGUACAAUCUAAGGAAUAUUUCACAAAAAUGAACCUCAAUUACUCGUAAAUCGAGGUUCAACUUGCGUUUUAUUAAGUACAAUAUUAAUUGAGUUUUUAUCAUGAAAAUCGAGGGCAAAACGUUUGAAUAUUACUAAGAGAAUUAAGAGUUUUUGGAAAACUCCUUUGCCUUGAAAUUUGAAAAAUUCAGUUUUGUUAUGAAUCUUUGAAAAUCGUAACUCACUCGGUACAAGUCGAGAAUUGGAAAACUUUAUACCGUUGGAAACCUCUUAGAAAGUACUAUAAGUUCCUAGAAGACACUUUUCCAUGAAUCGAAGUGGAAAGUGCUCAAAAAUGAGCUUGAAGGUACAGAAUUGGUUCACAAGGCAGAAUGAAGUUGGAUUUUGGCCAACUUUGAAAAUUCUGCACGAUUCGUACGUUGCAAACCAGCCUCUGAAAUUUGUCACUCAAGUAGUGUUGCAAGUGAAGUUUAUAACAAAACAAGCGGAUCAAGAAUCGGAGUUUCGAGUACCGAGAUACGGUAGCUCAAAGUUAGGCAAAUUCAAGACUGGAGAAGAAUUUCCAGAUUUGAACCUCCAACACUAGAAAUUUAAUUAGGUAUCGAAACGAACUUGGAUUGAUACCAAAAUUGGCAGUAUUUCGAUACUAUAUGGAAGGUAUCUCUCUGUCAAAUUUCAGGGAGAAAUACCCUCGGGAAGGUGGUCAACUAAUCACCCAAAGUUCCGGAAAAUUCCUAAGGCAAUCUGCCUUUUGACUUUCAUUUUCCAAAUUCAAAUCGUUUAACCAAGAAAGCUAUCCAACCAUGGUUCAUUUGUGAAAUAAAGGUCUAAGAUACAACCAUGAUACCUUUGGUAAUGGUUUAGCAUCAAAAUUUCAAUUAAUAAGAUUACUCACGGGUUUUUGUCCGAAACCAGUCCAAAUAAUACGUUUUUCCAAAACAGGGCAGUCCUCUUAUUUUGGUCACAACUCAGUCAAUUUAGCUUGGAAUUGAGAGUGGUUUAUGGCGUUGGAAAAUACAUUCAUAGGACUAAAAGUUCACAGAAGAAAGCGUUCCAAAAUUUGGCAAGCAACCAGCUCGAAAUUGAGCCUCAAGUUGCUGCCUCUACAGACCAUUCCAGCAGUUCCGAGAAACAGGACAGUGAUCUUAAAACGUUUGGUCCGGCUCACUCACAAAGAAUCAGAACAUGCAUUUUAUCUCAAAUUAAAGCCUGGGAUGUCUAGUUUCAAACGCCACUGACGGCACAUGAUUUCGACAUCCGAGGACAGAGUUAUAGUCGAAAUACCACAGCUGGUCUGAGCCAUACGGGAACAGUUUCCAGAUUUGCUAGUUUCCCAAAAAAAUUCAUUUGCCCAACCAAACCUUAUUAUUUUUCAAUGAAACUUUUCACACAUCUAAUAUAACAUAUAAGCAUCAGGUUCAUGCCAAUAAUUCACCAAAAAUUGGCCUUAUAGUGGCCGAACAAAACAGGGGUAUUUUCGGAAAUUUUUGCUUCUUGCACCCAAUGAAGUUUCUAUCAAUUACCCACCACUAAUCCAUCAUUUUAACCACUAAACCAACAAUAUAACCACCAUCAAUCAUCAAAUCAGCAACAACCCAAGUGUGGGAAUCCAUAGAGCCCACUUUUCAAAUUUUACACCAAUGUCAAGACACCCAUACACAUGCAAUAGCUUAAAGAUGCAUUUCUACCAUCAUAAUCCAAGUUUAAGGUGUAGGAUGAUGUUAUACCUCCUUGGUGUCUUAAACCAGAAAUUUUCGGUCCUCUAGUGCUCCAAGAAACCGUGAAAAACUCCUCCUUUUGCUAGCUAGAUGAACUCUCCAAGCAACAAGCUAAGUGUAGUUCAAAUUUGGUGUGAAUCUAUGAAGGUUUUGUGCAAGAAUUGAAGAUGAAAAUGGCAACUUUGUGUUGUGUUUUUGCUGCAGAGAAUUCGGCCAAGAGAG
rnacentral:lncRNA from 1 species